AAUGAACGCUGGCGGCAGGCCUAACAUAUGCAAGUCGAACGGGUCCUUCGGGACUAGUGGCGGACGGGUGAGUAACGCGUGGGAACAUACCCAAAGGUACGGAAUAGCCUCUGGAAACGGAGAGUAAUACCGUAUGUGCCCUUCGGGGGAAAGAUUUAUCGCCUUUGGAUUGGCCCGCGUUGGAUUAGGUAGUUGGUGGGGUAAUGGCCUACCAAGCCGACGAUCCAUAGCUGGUUUGAGAGGAUGAUCAGCCACACUGGGACUGAGACACGGCCCAGACUCCUACGGGAGGCAGCAGUGGGGAAUCUUAGACAAUGGGGGAAACCCUGAUCUAGCCAUGCCGCGUGAUCGAUGAAGGCCUUAGGGUUGUAAAGAUCUUUCAGAUGGGAAGAUAAUGACGGUACCAUCAGAAGAAGCCCCGGCUAACUCCGUGCCAGCCGCCGCGGUAACAC
rnacentral:rRNA from 1 species